AUGCGGUAUGACGGUACCCUUUCGAAUAAGAGGUUGCUAACUCUGUGCCAGCAGCAGCGGUAAUACAGAGACCUCGAGCGUUAUCCGGAUUUACUGGGCGUAAAGCGUCUGUAGGGGGUUUGUUAAGUUCCAAGUAAAAUCUUAAGGCUCAACUUUAAGUUCGCUUGGAAAACUAAUAAACUGGAGUCCAGCAGAGGUGCAUGGAACUUGCGGUGUAGGAGUGAAAUCCGUUGAUAUCGCAAGGAACACCAAAGGCGAAGGCAUUGCACUGGGCUGGUACUGACCCUGAGAGACGAAAGCGUGGGGAGCAAAACGGAUUAGAUACCCGUGUAGUCCACGCCGUAAACGAUGGAUACUAGAUGUUCGGGGAUUCGACCCCCUGGGUGUCACAGCUGACGCGUUAAGUAUCCCGCCUGGGAAGUACGGCCGCAAGGCUAAAACUCAAAGGAAUAGACGGGGAUCCGCACAAGCGGUGGAGCGUCUGGUUUAAUUUGAUAGUAAGCAAUGGACCUCACCAAGGUUUGACAUCCUAUGACAACCCUGGAAACAGGGCUUCCUUCGGGCAUAGUGACAGGUGCUGCAUGGUCGUCGUCAGUUCGUGCCGUGAGGUGUUCCGUUAAGUCGGCAAACGAACGAAACCCUCGUCGCAUGUUACAAAUUUCAUGCGAGACUGCCCGGGUCAACCGGGAGGAAGUCGGGGAUGACGUCAGAUCAGCAUGGCCCUUAUACCUUGG
rnacentral:rRNA from 1 species